ACAGGGGAGCUGUGCACCCAGGAUGGGUUUAUGGACGUCGAGGUCUACAGCUACCAAACACAACCAGCUCUUGACCUGGGUACUCUGAGGGUGGGAAACUCAUCCUGCCAGCCUGUCUUUGAGGCUCAGUCUCAGGGGCUGGUACGGUUCCACAUACCCCUGAAUGGAUGUGGAACGAGAUAUAAGGUUAGUACUGGCAGAUGGCACGAGGUUAAGUCUCAUCUUUGACAUAACUGGCUGCUAACCCACUUUCUCUGACAUUUAAGUUCGAAGAUGAUAAAGUCGUCUAUGAAAACGAAAUACAUGCUCUCUGGACGGAUUUUCCUCCAAGCAAAAUAUCUAGAGACAGUGAGUUCAGAAUGACAGUGAAGUGUUCUUAUAGCAGGAAUGACAUGCUACUAAACAUCAACG
rnacentral:lncRNA from 1 species